GGGUUGUGGCUUAGUGGUAGAGCGCUCGCCUCGCACAUCUGAGACCCUGGGUUUGAUCCUCAGCCCCA
rnacentral:tRNA from 1 species